CCUGGAGGAGGAGCUGAAACUUCUGGGAAGGCAUUUGAGAAAGCCCUCGAUGGGUGGAGGCAGAUGGCCGCGGUUUCAAAGCAUUAGAAGGUAAUUGACAAACUGUCACAGCCAAGCCUAAAGAGACAUGAUGACUAAUGUAAUGUGGACCCUGGAUGAAGAGGACAUUAAGUAAAAACUGAGGAAAUCUGAAUCAAGUGGAAUGAACCGAGGUGGCCCAAUGAUGGGGGAGCAGCAUAACACACUGAGAAAGAAUAAGGAUUUUCCUAUCAGAGAUUUAAAGUCAUUGUCAUCGCCAGUACUGUGCCACUGUGAGGUCCAUGCUGGACAGUCUGUGGAGGACAAGUCCAACUGCUUUGCAGGUUGACCUUGUGUAGAUGUAGUAGAUCAACUGAUUUAUUGAGGUUUUUUCCCCCCUUUUUAAGCUGCUUAUCUUGAUGCAGUGCUGCAUUGUUUUGUUUUCAUCCUGUUCCAAGAUCU